AUGGCGAGCUCGAGCGGGACCAAGGCGCCGAACUCGUCGGGGCGGCAGAGGUCGCUGUCGAGGGGGAUGACGAGAAUGGCUGCUAGAGUUGUGGACUUUCAGACGAAAGGCGACGAUGCUUUGGACAGGGAAGUUGUGCCCUCCUGCCUUUCUUCUAUUGCUCCCAUUUUCAGGGUUGCCAAUGAGAUUGAGGAGGACAACCCUAGGGUUGCUUAUCUAUGCCGCUUCCAUGGAUUUCUAGAGGCACAAAAAAUGGAUCCACCGUCAAGUGGACAGGGAGUUCGUCAGUUUAAGACUCAUCUUCUGCAGAGACUCGAAACGGCUAUGAUUAUUGUUGCAUGGAGUCCUUCUGGAUCUGUCACUUCAAUAUUUGAUGCGGAUGUCUUUAGAAGUGUGUUAAGCAUCUUCAUGACAUACGCUUUCCUGAAUUUAUUACAAGCCACUUUGGACAUGAUUCUCAGUUGGAAUGCAUGGAAGAGCUUGGAAUUCACUCAAAUACUACGAUACCUUUUGAAAUUUGCAGUAGCUGUUGUCUGGGCUGUGGUUCUGCCUAUUGGUUAUUCAAGUUCUAUGCAGAAUCCUACAGGGCUUCUGAAAUUCUUCAGUAAUCAAUCAUUUUAUAAUUAUGCUGUUGCAAUCUAUAUGGUUCCUAAUAUAUUGGCUGCUAUGCUAUUUGUUCUACCACCUUUACGGAGACACGUAGAGCGUUCCAACUGGCGCAUUGUCACUCUUUUUAUGUGGUGGGCUCAGCCAAAACUGUAUGUCGGAAGAGGAAUGCAUGAGGAUGUCUUCUCACUGCUGAAAUAUACAUUGUUCUGGAUCAUGCUGCUAAUCAGCAAGCUUGCAUUCAGCUAUUAUGUGGAGAUAUCGCCGCUUGUUGCACCAACAAAGUUGAUAAUGGAUAUGCCCAUCACUAAUUAUCAAUGGCAUGAGUUAUUUCCUAAUGCAACUCAUAAUAUUGGUGUUGUCAUUGCAAUAUGGGCUCCAAUUGUCUUAGUAUACAUUAUGGAUGCACAAAUAUGGUAUGCAAUAUUUUCUACUCUGUUCGGUGGGAUUCAAGGAGCCUUCAGCCAUUUGGGGGAGAUACGAACACUUGGGAUGUUGCGGUCCAGAUUUAAGUCUGUGCCUUCAGCUUUCAGUGAUCGGCUUAUGCCAUCAUCAGAAAUUAAGGAUGCCAAAAAGAAGAAACACUUGGUGCUAGCUGGAGAUGAGGAUGUCGAUAAUUACUUGCGUCAGAUAAUCAAUGUCCUUCAAGAUAUCAUGGAGAUUAUAACACAGGAAGUAAUGAUCAAUGGCCAUCAAAUUCUUGAAGCAGCUCACUACACAGAGGGUCAAAAUGUCAAGAAGGAGCAAAGGUUUGAAAAAAUCAACAUAUACCUUGCACAAAAUCCAUCUUGGAGAGAGAAGGUUGUUAGGCUUCAUUUGCUUUUGACCGUCAAGGAAUCUGCCAUCAAUGUGCCCGAAAACUUGGAUGCUCGCAGGCGCAUUACUUUCUUUGCGAACUCUCUAUUCAUGAACAUGCCAAAUGCUCCCAAAGUUCGUGACAUGCUCUCCUUUAGUGUUCUGACUCCUUAUUACAAAGAAGAUGUUCUGUAUUCUGAUGAUGAACUCAACAAGGAAAAUGAGGAUGGAAUCUCAAUCUUGUUCUACCUGCAGAAGAUAUAUCCUGAUGAAUGGAGAAAUUUCCAGGACCGCAUAAAUGAACCUAAGAAUGAGUACUCUAACAAGGACAAGUCGGAGUUACUUCGCCAGUGGGUAUCUUACAGGGGACAGACACUUUCUAGAACAGUGAGAGGAAUGAUGUACUAUAGGAAGGCUCUAGACCUUCAAUGUAUCCUGGAAACAGCAGGAGAUGGUGUUUAUGGAGGCUACCCAGCCCAGAUAUUAAGUCAAAUUGAUGAGAAGGAUAUUCUUGAUCGGGCACAAGCUCUGGCAGAUUUGAAGUUCACUUAUGUAGUUUCUUGUCAAAUCUACGGUGAACAGAAGAAUUCCAGUGAAAGUCGUGACAAAAGUUGUUACACAAAUAUUCUCAAGCUGAUGUUAACGUAUCCUUCUCUAUGGGUUGCUUACAUAGAUACAAGAGAGGAGACAGUGAAUGGAAAAUCCCAAAAGAUUUAUUUUUCUGUGCUGGUCAAGGGAGGGGACAAAUGGGAUGAGGAAAUAUACCGCAUCAAGCUUCCAGGUUCUCCUACAGAAAUUGGUGAAGGCAGACCUGAAAAUCAAAACCAUGCCAUCGUCUUUACUCGUGGAGAAGCCCUGCAAACCAUUGACAUGAAUCAGGAUAAUUAUUUUGAGGAAGCUUUCAAAAUGAGAAAUGUAUUGGAGGAAUUCCGGAAGCCUCGACGGGGGCAGCGGAAACCUACAAUAUUGGGUCUAAGGGAACAUAUUUUUACUGGAAGUGUUUCAUCACUUGCUUCGUUCAUGUCCAAUCAAGAGACUAGUUUUGUCACUAUAGGCCAACGAAUUUUGGCAAAUCUGAGGGUACGGUUUCAUUAUGGCCAUCCGGAUAUUUUUGACAGACUCUUCCACAUAACAAGGGGUGGCAUAAGCAAAGCAUCGAAAGUAAUUAACUUAAGCGAGAAUAUAUUUUCAGGGUACAAUUCUGUUCUGCGUGGGGGAUUUGUAACACAUCAUGAGUAUAUCCAAGUAGGCAAGGGGCGUGAUGUUGGAAUGAAUCAGAUAUCACUUUUCGAGUCUAAAGUUGCAAAUGGGAAUGGAGAGCAGACACUUAGCCGUGAUGUUUAUAGGCUUGGCCAUCGGUUUGAUUUCUAUAGAAUGCUGUCCUUUUACUUCACAACAGUUGGGUUCUAUUUUAGUAGCAUGGUAACUGUGCUGACUGUCUAUGUGUUUUUAUAUGGACGUCUAUAUAUGGUUAUGAGUGGAUUGGAAAGUGAGAUCCUGGAUAGCCCAGCCAUACAUCAGACCAAGGCUUUUGAAGAAGCUCUGGCUACACAGUCUGUCUUUCAACUGGGGUUGUUGCUGGUCCUCCCCAUGGUUAUGGAAAUUGGUCUGGAGAAAGGAUUCCGCACUGCCUUGGGUGAUUUCAUCAUCAUGCAGUUGCAGCUGGCCUCUGUUUUCUUCACUUUCCAAUUAGGAACAAAAGCACAUUACUACGGAAGGACAAUCUUACAUGGUGGAUCCAAAUAUAGACCAACUGGCCGUGGUUUUGUUGUUUUUCAUGCAAAGUUUGCCGAUAACUACAGGCUGUACUCAAGAAGUCACUUUGUGAAAGGGUUGGAGCUGUUGAUUCUGCUGAUUGUAUAUGGAGUCUACGGGAAUGCUUAUAGGAGUUCAAAUCUGUAUUUUUUCAUCACGUUCUCCAUGUGGUUUCUGGUUGCUUCCUGGUUGUUUGCUCCUUUUAUCUUCAAUCCAUCCAGCUUUGACUGGCAAAAAACUGUAGAUGAUUGGGCGGAUUGGAAGAGGUGGAUGGGAAAUCGUGGUGGUAUUGGGAUCUCACCUGACAAAAGUUGGGAAUCAUGGUGGGAUGAAGAGCAGGAAGACCUCAAGCACACUACUAUCCGUGGAAGAAUUCUUGAGAUAGUGCUUGCAUGUCGCUUCUUCUUUUUCCAAUAUGGGAUUGUUUACCACCUUGAUAUAGCUCAUUUCAGCAAGAGUUCACUGGUUUAUGGACUUUCUUGGGUGGUUAUGGUAACAGUGCUUCUCGUCUUAAAGAUGGUGUCAAUGGUUAGACGAAGAUUUGGUGCCGACUUUCAGCUCAUGUUCAGAAUUCUGAAAGCGCUUCUUUUCCUUGGCUUCAUGUCAGUCAUGACUGUCCUAUUUGUAGUUUGUGGCCUUACUAUUUCAGAUCUGUUUGCCUCUAUCCUUGCCUUCUUGCCCACAGGGUGGGCACUUCUUCUUAUCGGGCAAGCAUGCAGGCCAAUGCUUAAGGGAGUAGGAUUCUGGGAAUCAAUCAAGGAGCUGGGAAGAGAAUAUGAUUAUAUAAUGGGAGUGGCAGUCUUCGCGCCUGUUGCCAUUUUGUCAUGGUUCCCGUUUGUCUCCGAGUUCCAAACACGGUUGCUCUUCAACCAAGCAUUCAGUCGGAGGGCUACAAAUUUCAAUGAUUCUUGCCGGAAGGAAAGAUAAAUUCAUGUGA